GACGAACGCUGGCGGCGUGCCUAAUACAUGCAAGUCGAGCGCAGGAAACUGACGGAACUCUUCGGAGGGAAGGCAGUGGAAAGAGCGGCGGACGGGUGAGUAACACGUAAGGAACCUGCCUCAAGGAUUGGGAUAACUCCGAGAAAUCGGAGCUAAUACCGGAUAGUUCAACGGACCGCAUGUCCGCUGAUGAAAGGCGCUCCGUCGUCACCUUGAGAUGGUCUUGCGGUGCAUUAGCUAGUUGGGGGGGUAACGGCCCACCAAGGCGACGAUGCAUAGCCGAGCUGAGAGGGUGAUCGGCCACAAUGGGACUGAGACACGGCCCAGACUCCUACGGGAGGCAGCAGUAGGGAAUCUUCCACAAUGGACGAAAGUCUGAUGGAGCAACGCCGCGUGAGUGAUGAAGGUUUUCGGAUCGUAAAACUCUGUUGUAAGGGAAGAACACGUACGAGAGGAAAUGCUCGUACCUUGACGGUACCUUACGAGAAAGCCACGGCUAACUACGUGCCAGCAGCCGCCGUAAAAC
rnacentral:rRNA from 1 species